rnacentral:rRNA from 1 species
AGGGAAUAGAUACCCGGGUAGUCCUGGCAGUAAACGGUGCACGUUUGGUGUGGGCGCAAUCGACCGCGUCCGCGCCGGAGCUAAACGCGUUAAACGUGCCGCCUGGGAAGUACGGUCGCAAGAUUAAAACUCAAAGAAAUUGACGGGGACCCGCACAAGCGGUGGAGUACGUGGCUUAAUUCGAUGCAACGCGAAGAACCUUACCUGGUCUUGACAUGCAUUGUGUCUCCGGUGAAAGCCGGAUAGGGUAGCAAUACCCGCUUUGCACAGGUGCUGCAUGGCUGUCGUCAGCUCGUGUCGUGAGAUGUUGGGUUAAGUCCCGCAACGAGCGCAACCCCGUGUGAUUUGUUGCCACCGGCUUAUGCCGAGCACUCGAAUCAAACCUGCCUCGAUCAACGAGGAGGAAGGUGGGGUAGUGACGUCAAGUCCGUAUGGCCCGUUACGACCAGGGCUGCACACGUACUACAAUGCCCAGUACAAUGUGAACCGAGACCGCGAGGU